AGAAAAUUUAAAGAGGAUUUCUCAAAACAAAUCUCUCAUCCAUCAAGAGAUUUCUCAACACAGCCCACCUCUUCUCUCUUUCCAUCUAGGGUUUUUUCCUCCAUCUCUUCCAAUUAGGUAUGAGUUUGAUAUAACAUGAAUUUAUGACACAAGAUUCAGAACCUUUCACAAUAUUUCUCUUCCAAUCUGGCCUCUUCUCUUGUAUUUUUCUCCUCCAUCUUAAAUUUCUGAGUUUACUAUGGCAGAACAUGAAUUUACGGAUAGACCUUUGCUAUGAGUUUGCUGUUUGCUACGAGUUUUCUUUGAAUCUCCUCCAUCUUUGAUAUGAGUUUUCUUCAAAUCCGGCAAAUUUAUAGUAGAUUUUCUUUGAAUCUUCCAAUCAAUUUUCUGUUUGAUUUAUAAUGAUUUGUGUUUUAUGAUAAAUUUAUGUGUUUUUCAUUAGUUGCUUUUAGUAAUUUGAAGCAGAUUUUAAUAAGUUUUUUAGCUUAUUUUUGUUGAUUUUUCUGGUGUGUAGGAAUAGUACAGAUGAAUUAAAUUUUAUAGCUGGGCAUGUACUUUUUGUGAUUUUCUUUAAAUAUUUGGUUGACUUUUUUAAAUUAGACAAAGUGCAAUUUGAUGGCAUUGUUGUAUAUUAUAUUCUCUAUGCUGUAUGCACGAUAAAUCAAUGGCAAGUGAAAAAAUGGGACUAUUGCUAUUAUAUGACAAUUAAGGCCGUCGCAGAGAAAAAAAAAACUGAAUAAAGAAAAGGAAAAGGAGCUGGAUUUUUACUUCCAACACAUUAAUUUGAGCAUGUAUCUUCGCUAUGUUUUUAUCAACAUUAUUUUGUGCUAUUUCUUUGUGCCUCCCGCUCUCAAGUUGUCAAUUUUAAUCACAAAGCUACUCACUCUAUGACACUGUAAGAUAUUUUUUGUCUUACUGGAAAAGUCCAAAAGUGAUAAGCAUAUCACUGGUUUGUUUAACAGCCUUGUUGUCAAUUUUACAUAGAAUAUUGAAAGAAGUUGGAGAGGUGUUAAGGAAGUUCAAUGUAUAAUCGAAUGUCGACUUCUCUCAUACUUUUGAGUUUAUAGAUAUAUGAUGUAUCAGCUUAUUUAGCCUUCCAUAGUUAUGCGCUGCCUAUCCUAUAUGGCUAUACCUUUUUAUUAAGGAUGCCUUAUGUAUUUAGCCUUACACAGAUAUAUGCUGUAUCAUUUUAUGUAUUUUUUUUAAGGAUGCCUCAGUUGUAAUUCUCACAACGAUAAGAAAAAACUCAUUCUUUUUGUUUCAUUGCCUGUAUAAAACUUUUUGGCUUAUGGCUGGGUACAUUUAAGGUCCUUUUACCCCCAUGCAAGAAGAUUUGCUUAAAUAGUAUCAAAUAAUAGACUAGAAAUGAGAGUUUUUAAGAUGCUUUGUUUUUUCUUCAGUCUCAUUUAACAAGUUUCUUUCUCAACCUAUCCUACCAUAUGGACGUAGAAGUAUUUAGGAUUGCUUGGGUUUAGUGAACCGUCUUAACAAUAUAUUUUUGAUUGCAUAGAUCAUGAUUGACAUGAGCUAUAACAAGAAAUAGAGGUGUAAAGUUUGACAUACGUGAUUACUGGGUGGGAGGGAUCAACACAUAAUUCUAAAGUGUUGAGUGAUGCUUUAACAAGGAGAAAUGGACUUAAAGUGCCAUAAUGUAAAUAUUUUUUGGGAGACUGUGGAUUUUCAAAUCGUACACAAGCCGAACUCGUAUUAGCUUGUGCAGGAUUACAUAAUUUUCUCCGGAAAGAAUGUUGGUCCGAUGAAUUUCCAAUCGAACCCGAUAACGAAGAUUCUUCAUCUUUUUCGAUUAAUGAGGGGGAAGACUUUGGACCAUUUUUUGAAAGUCAAGAACAAGAAAGAGAGAAUGAAAAUGCACGGAGGGCUUUUCUAGCAGCAGACAUGUGGAAUGAUGUUGGAAAUGUUUGAUAUUUUUUUUUUAUCAUUACUAAAAUACUAUUUUUUUAGUAUUUUUAUUAGUUGUUAAUUUACUUGAUAUAAGAUGAAAAAGUACUUUAUGUUUGACGAAAUAUUUGUUUUCUUUUUUUUUGGAAAAAAAUUGACAUGAAAAAUACGAUUUA